rnacentral:tRNA from 1 species
ACCAGAAUAGCUUAAUUUUAAAAAGCUUUGAUUUUGUAAUUCAAGGAUGGGAACUCCUUCUGGUA